UCUCCGUUGGUGAACCAGCGGAGGGAUCAUUACAGGACUCACAAGGCUCCUACAACCCUGUGAACUUAACUAUUAGCACCUUGCUUCGGCGGCUGUCCCGGAGAGAGUACUCCCUCCCCGAGACGCUACACCCACCGGCAGACUACUAUACCCUGUCUCUUUGCAUUGGCAUAUAGAGCACAAUCAAACAAGAUAAAACUUUUAACAACGGCUCUCGUGGUUAUGGCAUCGAUGCAGAAGCGCGCAGAUCGGAAGACCACACCUCUACACUCCAGUCAC
rnacentral:misc_RNA from 1 species